UACGUAGGGACCAAGCGUUGUUCGGAUUUACUGGGCGUAAAGGGCGCGUAGGCGGCCACCGCAAGUCAAUUGUGAAAUCUCCGGGCUUAACUCGGAAAGGUCAACUGAUACUGCGGGGCUAGAGUGCGGAAGGGGCAACUGGAAUUCUCGGUGUAGCGGUGAAAUGCGUAGAUAUCGGGAAGAACACCCGUGGCGAAGGCGGCUCUCGUGGGACGGUACUGACGCUGAGACGCGAAAGCGUGGGGAGCGAACGAGGAAUUG
rnacentral:rRNA from 1 species